UAGGGAAUAUUGGUCAAUGGAGGCAACUCUGAACCAGCCAUGCCGCGUGCAGGAAGAAGGUCCUCUGGAUUGUAAACUGCUUUUAUAAGGGACGAAAAAGGCUAUGCGUAGCAAAUUGACGGUACUUUAUGAAUAAGCCACGGCUAACUACGUGCCAGCAGCCGCGGUAAUACGUAGGUGGCAAGCGUUAUCCGGAUUUAUUGGGUUUACAGGGAGCGUAGGCGGCUUAAUAAGUCAGUGGUGAAAGGU
rnacentral:rRNA from 1 species